rnacentral:rRNA from 1 species
GAUGAACGCUGGCGGCGUGCCUAAUACAUGCAAGUCGAGCGAACGGACGAGAAGCCUGCUUCUCUGAUGUUAGCGGCGGACGGGUGAGUAAAACGUGGAUAACCUACCUAUAAGACUGGGAUAACUUCGGGAAACCGGAGCUAAUACCGGAUAAUAUUUUGAACCGCAUGGUUCAAAAGUGAAAGACGGUCUUGCUGUCACUUAUAGAUGGAUCCGCGCUGCAUUAGCUAGUUGGUAAGGUAACGGCUUACCAAGGCAACGAUGCAUAGCCGACCUGAGAGGGUGAUCGGCCACACUGGAACUGAGACACGGUCCAGACUCCUACGGGAGGCAGCAGUAGGGAAUCUUCCGCAAUGGGCGAAAGCCUGACGGAGCAACGCCGCGUGAGUGAUGAAGGUCUUCGGAUCGUAAAACUCUGUUAUUAGGGAAGAACAUAUGUGUAAGUAACUGUGCACAUCUUGACGGUACCUAAUCAGAAAGCCACGGCUAACUACGUG